rnacentral:lncRNA from 1 species
AAAUGAUUAAAAUUUGUGAAUUUUUUUUUUGGAUCAGAGAAAAAUUUUAUAAAGAAAAACCAUGGUACCAGGGAUACCUAAAAGUUAAUACAAUAAGAAGAGAGAAGGAUUCAGAGCACCAAGAGGGGAAGCUCGAAUCCUUUGCAACAAUACCAAAAGAUUUAUUCCAACUCCAGAUCCUUCCUUUUAUUUCCAACAACAGAUUCUGAACAUCCCAGCCUUCCCUUCAAAUAUGCUCUUGUUACGUCGUUUCCAAAGGAGCCACGCCGUGCAAAUCCAAACCGCCUUAAGCAUGUUACCGCUCUUCUUUCCUUUUCCUAAAUGUAUGAACCAAUUGUAGUGCUGCUCAAUCUUCAUGGGUCUCGUUGAACAAAUACCAAUCCACUUAUGGAUUUCAUCCCACACUCGUUGAGCUUUCGGACAAAGCAAGAACAAGUGAUCUGCUGUCUCUUCACUAGCAACACACCCAUUACAUCAAGACUCCUCAACUGUCACCGCCACGUUUCUCUUAAUCAAAUUAUCACACGUUGCU